GCCACGGUGGUCUAGUGGUUAGAACGCUGGCCUUGUAAUCCUCGGGCGUCUCGGGUUCGAUUCCCGGCGGUGCCC
rnacentral:tRNA from 1 species